UACGGAGGGUGCAAGCGUUAUCCGGAUUCACUGGGUUUAAAGGGUGCGUAGGUGGGUUGGUAAGUCAGUGGUGAAAUCUUCGGGCUUAACCCGGAAACUGCCAUUGAUACUAUUUAUCUUGAAUACUUUGGAGGUAAGCGGAAUAUGUCAUGUAGCGGUGAAAUGCUUAGAUAUGACAUAGAACACCAAUUGCGAAGGCAGCUUACUACACAGUUAUUGACACUGAGGCACGAAAGCGUGGGGAUCAAACAGG
rnacentral:rRNA from 1 species